UAAGGCAGCUGUCCUGUAGUGCAGGAAGCCAACUCCCAAGGUAAAAUGUCUUUAGACAAAUAAAAAUGUCUUUAGAAGGCCUAGGCUCUCUAUGGGGUGAGACUGAAUGCUGAGGCCCGAUCUGGCCUCUGAUAGAGGAGGGCUUUCAACUGUUGGGGGCAGGGAACAGCUAGGAGCUUGGCAGGGAGGACUCUGUAUA
ensembl:misc_RNA Gm27782 predicted gene, 27782